CCUACGGGUGGCAGCAGUAGGGAAUCUUCGGCAAUGGACGAAAGCCUGAACGAGCGAUGCCGCGUGAGUGAAGAAGGCCUUCGGGUCGUAAAGCUCUGUUGCUGGGGAAAAAAAGCAGCAUCAGGAACUGGAUGCCGACUGAUGGUGCCCCACCAGAAAGCCACGGCUAACUACGUGCCAGCAGCCGCGGUAAUACGUAGGUGGCAAGCGUUAUCCGGAAUGAUUGGGCGUAAAGGGUGCGCAGGCGGUCCUGGAAGUCUGGAGUGAAACGCAUGGGCUCAACUCAUGAAGGGCAUUGGAAACUGGAGGACUGGAGAGCAGAAGAGGGCAGUGGAACUCCAUGUGUAGCGGUAAAAUGCGUAGAUAUAUGGAAGAACACCAGUGGCGAAGGCGGCCGCCUGGCCUGUUGCUGACGCUGAGGCACGAAAGCGUGGGGAGCAAAUAGGAUUAGAUACCCGUGUAGUC
rnacentral:rRNA from 1 species